GCCCCCCAGGUACCCCGUGGUCCUGCAGCGCUUCGAGCUGCGCCGCGGCUCGGGGGGCGCCGGGCGCUUCCGGGGGGGCGACGGCGUGUGCCGGGAGCUGCUCUUCCGCCAGGACAUGGUGCUGUCGGUGCUGAGCGAGCGCCGCGCCAUCCAGCCCUACGGCCUGCAAGGCGGCAGCCCCGGCGCCCUGGGGCUCAACCUGCUGCUGCGCCGCGACGGGCGAGCCAUCAACCUGGGCGCCAAGACAUCGGUGCCGGUGCAGGCGGGGGACGUCUUCUGCCUGCAGACCCCCGGUGGGGGCGGCUUCGGGCCCCCUGGGGAUGCCGGGGAUGCCGAGGAUGGUGCGGAGCCGCCGGCGCCCCGGAGCUUUGCGGAGCGCGGGAGCCUCUUCGAGUACCGGCGGGCGCAGGAGGCCGUGUGAGGGCCCUGGGCCCCGAGCCGGGGGCCGUGGGGCAGCCCCGGCCCCAGCUACGCGUGCCCGGUGGGGCAGCCCCCACCCUAGGUAGGCAGACCCCGUGGGGCAGCCCCAAGGCCCGGUACGCUCACACCGUGGGGCUGCCCCAGCCCCUGGUACACCCCCGCCGAGGAGCAGCCCCAGCCCCACACACGCACACCCCGGGGGGCAGCCCCCCGGGACCAGGUACGCACAGCCCGAGGGCAGCCCCCCGUCCCCACGUACGCACACCCCGGGGGGCAGCCCCCC
rnacentral:lncRNA from 1 species